CAGGUGAGCGCCGGCUGGGCUUGAUGGGAGGCUGAAUCCCGUUCGUGGACCGCCGUUGCCUCUUCGCGGGAUCGUUGGCCACAAUAGCAGGAAACCUAUGGCCUGCAUCAAUGAAAUAGCCAAGAUCAACCAGAAAAAGAAUAUUGGUCUCCCAUCUGCAAGACUGGGGAAAAAAUUAGAAGACUGAGGGGAUGAGGAAGGAAAGAAAACAGCCUAAUGGAGAAGAUCCUCAAACCUCAGACCUGGAAGUGAGCCUGGGGCUUCCCUAGUCUACCCCUGCAUUGCACAGAUGGGGAGACUGAGGCCCUAAGAGGCGGAAGAACUGACUCAAGCUCACUCUGUGAGUUGAGGGUGGAACUGGAACUGAACUCAGACCCACACCUCCUGGCAAAGUGCUCAAUGCCCUCUGCCCGCGCAGCCCUCCUGCUCUCCUAACAAGCUAGAGACACUAAAAGCUGCCUCUCCAGGAGAAUCGCUUGAAUCCGGGAGGCAGAGGUUGCAGUGAGCCAAGAUCGUGCCACUGCACUUCAGCCUGGCGACAGAGCAAGACUCCGUUUCAAAAUACAUACAUACAUACAUGCAUACAUACAUACAUACAUACAUACAUACAUACAUACAUACAAAAGCUGCCUCUCUAACCCCCAGACAUUUUGAAUUCAUGUUUUUGCCACAAAGUGUUCUUGGAAUCAAAGAAUCAAUUCAUUAAUCUGGGUAAUUAGUUUAGGAACCAGAGGGCUUGGAGACUGUGCUGUGAGAACAAUUCCAAGCUCAGUCUCUACACUGAAAAACCUAACUACCUCUGACCUGUGUCCACAGGUGACACCUCAGCCUCAGCCAGGAAAAAGCUGGAGGCUCUGCACACGCCUCCCCCAUCCCGCCCUCCCCAGUUCUUACCCCCAGAGGGACAUAUGGCUCAGGACAGGUAUCCUGUGGGCAGUGGGGCAGGGACACCCUCCUCCUGUUCCUCUCCUGUAUUUUACAAAUGGCAACAUGGAGCACAGAGAAAUAAUCUGUUCAUGGCCAUCCCACAAGCUAAUGACUAAAAAUUCUAGUCCUCUGUAUUAGUUUGUUAUCACGCUGCUGAUAAAGACAUACCCGAGACUGGGCAAUUUACAGAAGAGGUUUAAUCGACUUUCAGUUCCACCUGGCUGGGGAGGCCUCACAAUCGUGGCAGAAGGUAAAAGGCAGUCUCACAUGGCAGCAGACAAGAGAAGAGAGCUUGUGCAGGGAAACUCCCCUUUAUAAAACCAUCAGAUCUCAUGAGACUUACUCACUAUGAUGAGAAUAGCAUGGGAAAGCCCCGCCCCCAUGAUUCAAUUACCUCCCACCGGGUCCCUCCCAUAGCACGUGGGAAUUCAAGAUGAGUUUUGGGUGGGGACACAGCCA
rnacentral:lncRNA from 1 species